GCGUAGGAGGGCAGGUAAGUCAGUGGUGAAAUCCCCGAGCUUAACUUGGGAACUGCCGUUGAUACUAUCUGUCUCGAAUGUUGUGGAGGUGAGCGGAAUAUGUCAUGUAGCGGUGAAAUGCUUAGAUAUGACAUAGAACACCAAUUGCGAAGGCAGCUCGCUACACAAUUAUUGACUCUGAUGCACGAAAGCGUGGGGAUCAAACAGGAUUAGAUACCCUGGUAGUCCACGCCCUAAACGAUGGAUACUCGACAUCAGCGAUACACUGUUGGUGUCUGAGCGAAAGCAUUAAGUAUCCCACCUGGGAAGUACGACCGCAAGGUUGAAACUCAAAGGAAUUGG
rnacentral:rRNA from 1 species